AUGCACACGCACACACAUGCACACACACACACAUGCACACACACACACACGUGCACACACACGCACACACACACAUACACAUAUGCAUGCACAUACACACAUGAGCACACAUGCAUACAUUCGUGCACAUCACACGUGCACACACACGCAGACACAUGCACACAUGCAUGCACACAUGCUCACACACACCCAUACACAUGUGCACACACAUGCAUACACGCACAUACACAUAUGCAUGCACAUCGCAUGUACACACAUGCACACACAUACACUCAUGCACACAUGCUCAUACAUACAUUCGUGCACAUCACACGUGCACACACAUACAUUUGUACACACACAUACAUUCGUGCACAUCACAUACAUGCAUACAUGCUCACACAUACCUAUAUUCGUGUGCAUCACACGUGCACAUGCACACACACGUGCAUACACAUACAUUUGUACACACAUACAUUCGUGCGCAUCACACGUGCACACAUGCACACACACAUACACACGCACGCACACACAUGCCCAUACACACAUGCAUACAUGCACAUACACACAUAUGCAUGCACACACACAUGCACACACACGUUUGUGCACACACAUACAUACAUUCGUGCACAUCACACGUGCACACACAUGCACUCAUGCACACAUGCUCAUACAUACGUACAUUCGUGCGCCUCACACGUGCACAUGCACACACAUACACAUGCACACACACGCACACACACGCCCAUACACACGUGCACACACAUGCAUACACAUACACACAUGAGCACACUUGCAUACAUUCGUGCACAUCACAUGUGCACACACACAUGCAGACACAUGCACACACGCGUGCACACACACUCACACGCCCAUACACAUGUGCACACACAUGCAUACACGCACAUACACAUAUGCAUGCACAUCGCACGUACACACAUGCACACACAUACACUCAUGCACACAUGCUCAUACAUACAUUCGUGCACAUCACACGUGCACACACAUACAUUUGUACACACACAUACAUUCGUGCACAUCACACAUACACACAUGCAUACAUGCUCACACAUAUGUACAUUCGUGCGCAUCACACAUGCACAUGCACACACACGUGCAUACACAUACAUUUGUACACACAUACAUACAUUUGUGCGCAUCACACACAUACAUUCGUGCGCAUCACACGUGCACACAUGCACACACACAUACACACGCACGCACACACAUGCCCAUACACACAUGCAUACACGCACAUACACACAUAUGCAUGCACACACACACAUGCACACACACACGUUUGUGCACACACAUGCACACACAUACAUACAUUCGUGCACAUCACACGUGCACACACAUGCACACACACAUGCACACAUGCUCAUACAUACGUACAUUCGUGCGCCUCACACGUGCACAUGCACACACAUACACACAUGCACACACACACACAUGCACACACACAUGCCCAUACACAUGUGCACACACAUGCAUACACAUACACACAUGAGCACACUUGCAUACAUUCGUGCACAUCACAUGUGCACACACACAUACACAUGCACACACAUGCACACACACGUUUGUGCACACACAUGCACACACACGCCCAUACACACGUGCACACAUGCAUACACAUACAUUUGUACACACACAUACACAUAUGCAUGCACAUCGCACGUACACACAUGCACACACAUACACUCAUGC
ensembl:lncRNA